GAUGAACGCUGACAGAAUGCUUAACACAUGCAAGUCAACUGUGGCGGACGGGUGAGUAACGCGUAAAGAACUUGCCUCACAGUUAGGGACACCAUUUGGAAACGAAUGCUAAUACCUGAUACUGUGAGAGAGGUUUGCGUCCCAUUAGCCAGUUGGAGAGGUAACGGCUCACCAAGGCGAGGAUGGGUAGCCGGCCUGAGAGGGUGAUCGGCCACAAGGGGAAUGAGACACGGCCCUUACUCCUACGGGAGGAAGCAGUGGGGAAUAUUGGACAAUGGACCAAAGUCUGAUCCAGCAAUUCUGUGUGCACGAUGAAGUUUUCGGAAUGUAAAGUGCUUUGAGUUGGGAAGCGGUACCAACAGAAGAAGUGACGGCUAAAUACGUGCCAGCAGCCGCGGUAAUUC
rnacentral:rRNA from 1 species